GACGAACGCUGGCGGCGUGCUUAACACAUGCAAGUCGAACGGAAAGGCCCUGCUUUUGUGGGGUGCUCGAGUGGCGAACGGGUGAGUAACACGUGAGUAACCUGCCCUUGACUUUGGGAUAACUUCAGGAAACUGGGGCUAAUACCGGAUAGGAGCUCCUGCUGCAUGGUGGGGGUUGGAAAGUUUCGGCGGUUGGGGAUGGACUCGCGGCUUAUCAGCUUGUUGGUGGGGUAGUGGCUUACCAAGGCUUUGACGGGUAGCCGGCCUGAGAGGGUGACCGGCGACAUUGGGACUGAGAUACGGCGCAGACUCCUACGGGAGGCAGCAGUGGGAAAUAUUGCACAAUGGGCGGAAGCCUGAUGCAGCAACGCCGCGUGCGGGAUGACGGCCUUCGGGUUGUAAACCGCUUUCGCCUGUGACGAAGCGGGAGUGACGGUAAUGGGUAAAGAAGCACCGGCUAACUACGUG
rnacentral:rRNA from 1 species